GAUGAACGCUAGCGAUAGGCUUAACACAUGCAAGUCGAGGGGCAGCAUGGUCUUAGCUUGCUAAGACUGAUGGCGACCGGCGCACGGGUGCGUAACGCGUAUGCAACUUGCCUCACAGAGGGGGAUAACCCGUCGAAAGACGGACUAAUACCGCGUACACUCCAUCUUGGGCAUCCAAGGUAGAGGAAAUGAAAUUCGCUGUGAGAUAGGCAUGCGUCCCAUUAGCUAGUUGGUGAGGUAACGGCUCACCAAGGCGACGAUGGGUAGGGGAACUGAGAGGUUGAACCCCCACACUGGUACUGAGACACGGACCAGACUCCUACGGGAGGCAGCAGUGAGGAAUAUUGGUCAAUGGGCGAGAGCCUGAACCAGCCAAGUCGCGUGAAGGAUGACUGUCUUAGGGAUUGUAAACUUCUUUUAUACGGGAAUAACAAGAGUCACGUGUGACUCCCUGCAUGUACCGGAUGAAUAAGCAUCGGCUAACUCCGUG
rnacentral:rRNA from 1 species